UCUCUCUCUGUCUCUCUCUGUGUCUCUCUCUCUGUCUCUCUCUGUCUCUCUCUCUGUCUCUCUCUCUCUCUCUCUCUCUCUCUCUCUCUCUCUCUCUCUCUCUGUCUCUCUCUGGCAGAUGGAGUCAAUAAGGAUUAUGCUCAAAGUCCUGCUUCCAGAACUUAUUGGAAAAAAGGAGGGCAGAGAAAAUCCUCUUUUCUUCUUUUUUCAAAGCUGAUGGGAAAGGGCAAAGCCCAGCACAGGAGCCCUCUGCCAUCUUGUCCCUGUCUCCUUCUAUGGCAUGCCUGAUCUUGCUCUCUAUCUGCAUUCACAAAUGCCCUGGAAAGCCUUCCCAGUCACUCUCCAGGUCCCAAUUCACCUUAGAACCUCCAGAAGAGUGUGUCAUAUGAUGUUCCGAGGUAGAUACUUCAGGCAGAAGACUGUGCAUAGAACUAUACAGAAAGAAAGCAGAGAAUAACUUGGGUUUGGACUCUGGGGGGUGAGGGACACCAGGAUAGACUGUUAGGCUUAUAUAGUCAACAUAUGUGUUCUUGGGGAAGCUUGAAUCAUCCUGAUAUGUUUAUAGAUAGUUUCCUGAAUGAAGGUUAGUCUCCACAAAUAUUACACACACACACACACACACACACACACACACACACACACACACACACAUUCAUUACUUAAAUAAGCACCAAAACAUUGAUGAGGACUAGAGGAGAGACAGCUCAAGUGAUAAGUGCUUGCCAUUCUUGCAGAGCACCAGAAUUCAAUUUUCCAGAACCCAUAUCAGUCAACUCAAAACUGCCUUUGGCUCAAGCUCCAGGGGAUCAGACGCUCUGUUUUGACCUUCGUGGGCACCUGCAUGCAUGUACACACAUAUAUAUGCAGGCACACACAUGCACAUACAUAAAAUUAAAAAGUAAAAUGCAAAGCCAGAUUGAUAAGCUGUAACUUAGAUCUAAUUAGGUCUUUAGUCUUCUAUCUGUAUGUACCUGAGCAAAUACAAGGAGCUACUGGAUUUUUUUAGAAAAGGCCUUAAGGGGAAAUCUUACCUUCCUUCGUUGAUAUUCAAGUGAGUGGAUGGGAUGCAAGCUCAAGGCUAAUCCAGUUAUCUCCCUUUCACAGGAGGUUGGGGAGCGGUGUAGAACUUGGUUUUGGUCUCAGUAUGAUGGUGUGGGGUGAGAUCAGGUAUGUCCUCCUCCCUCACCUGACUUCUCUAGGGGCCUUCUAUUGUCCUGGCCUCCACUUUCAUUAACCGACUACCUACAGAAUCCUGGGAGAACAGUUGUAUAUCUUGUCAUGUUUACUUAGAUGCCUUCCUCACAUGCGGACAUCUUUCUUCCAGAUCAUCAAUGUCCAACUAGAUCCUGAGAUAAACUCCAUGGGAAUGUAACAUGAAAUACCUGGAUAAGAUCUGCUGUCUUAAAAUCUCAUGGGGGGAAAAAGUGAUGGAAUCCAGAUCCUUAAUUUUCAGGCAGAGUCAGGAAGAAGAGAGUCCUGGAAGGAAGACGCUGUGGGCCUUGUGCUGCCUUCGCUUCCCCUUGCCUGUCGAACCAAACUCGGUGUUCUAGUCAAGCUUACCUCCAUCUUCCAGAUUACCCCCUGGAUAAGAGGAAGUGCUAUGGAGUCAACCUUGCUGUAGCACCAGUUUCUCAGUCUUCUCAUCUGAAAACUGGGAUAAAAGUAGCUACUUUUUACUAUGUUAUUUUAAAGACGUAAUGGAUCUAGCAUGCAAAGAGCUUGGAUAUUCACAUACCCGGGAUGUUUUAGUACCUCAGUAUAUGCUGUUAUUGUGAUUAUUCUCAUUUUCCCUGAGCAUGUGGGCAGCACAGGCCUUCUUCACUCCUCUGGACCCAGCAGCCAAGAUGUCUUCUCAUCUCUGUGGGCAAAUGAAAGCUGUGAGGCUCAGUGUGAGUCCGGGGAACUGCAUCAGCCUCCCUUGCUUGUCCUCUAAUAGAAUAGGAAACGUGGAACGUUCCGCAAAACCAAGGCUUUUUCAUAGAAUGUCUUGUGUUGUUCUCUUUCCUCUUCCAUUAUAUAACUGUACAGGAAGUGUGUUGGUAUGCGUUUAAUUUGUCGUUCUGUGGCUGAGAAGACAGAGAUGUUGUCAGCCUGACAGAGGAUAAAACUCUGCUGAAACGAAUGACAUUCCUCAGACAAAGAGUCCUCAGACGGAGGCCUAACUGCCAUCUCUGGUCCUGGUGCUUUUCUGUUCACCACAGCAGGACUUCAGAAAGAAAGGGAUCUGUGCACGGCCUCUGGGGUGGCACAUCCCUCAGUGACUUGCUAACCUUCAAAGCUACUUCAGCUCAAGAAGUCCACUGUGGGGUAGGAUGAACUGGGAGAAGGGUAUGGCCCUUUUUGUACAUGAGAGAGUUCUAUAGGGUGAAAAAUCCACAAAAGAAGGGAAGGAAGGUCGAGUAAUGGAGAAGUACUGAGGAGAAUCUCUCUCCAAUGAUAGGGUCAUCGUCUCCAAGUAACCAAGAAGGAAACACCAGAGCAAUUUUCACCCUCUCUCAUCUCCAAGUUAUGACAACAAAAUGUUUACCAUGGUCAUCUUUGGGCAGAGGAACCCAGGGACAGAAGAAGGAAGAUUUUUUUUUUGCUUUUUAUUUACAGUUUUCUCUAUUCUUUUUUUUUUUAAGACAGGAUGUUACUCUGUAGCCUAAGCUGGCCUGGAGCUCAUGAUUCUCCUGCUUCAGCUUCCUGGAACUUGUGACCCUGACUUGGGAUUACAGGCACGUGUCAACAUUCUUGGCUUCAUUCUUCCAAAUGUGUACACAAAACAUUCUUUUAGAUGUCCGCAAAUCUGAAAACACCUACAUGUGUCGAUGUGAGGCAUUUCAGUAAAGGACUAUUCCUACUCAAUAUUUCCUUGAAGUCUCUCGUUCUAAUCAGUCCUGUACACUGUGUACUACAUUACUUUUCCUGGAGAGACAGAGAUGUUUAUUCUCUUCAAAUGCAGGGGAAACAACAGACCAAAGAAGCAAUUCUAUCCAUCUUGGUGAGUUUAUUGGAAUUACUUGCAUGAGUGAUUCUUAGACAGAUACAUCACUGAAAGACCCACCUGAGUCCCGGUGAUGUCUCCCUGAAGCUGCCUCACUGGAGUCCCUUGUCAAACUUUUGUGCAGCUACACCACUGAAGACACCUUCUCUCAAACAUUGUUUACUACUCACACAAUCUCACGAAGGGGCCUCUUGAGUCUUGUAAGCUUUGUGAGCUACUGAGUCUUAUAAGUGCCUGGGGUCUCUUGAGCCUUCCUCUCCCCUCCAGGAGGGAGUGUUUAAAUUGGGAGGAAAGAACCAUACAACUGUGCUUUUGCAAAUACUUCUCCCUAAUGCUAAAUGAGUCUGGGACAUUUUUCUCCUAACAGUGCAAGGGGAGCUGUGAGCUUGCUUGGCUUGGUGUCUUCUGCUGGCUUGAGUUUGCUCUUGUUCUUGUUGCUGCUGCUGCUGCUGUUGCUGCUGCUGCUGUUGCUGUUGCUGCUUCCGUCGUUUUCUUUACAGCCCCAGUAUCUGGGGGAAAAGUAUCACAGGAAGCAGUGGAGCUUGGUUAUGUAACAACAGAUACCAGAAUGGUGAAAGGGCAGACUAGAGAGACAGAGUAGCCCAUGUGGUGGGAGGAGAAGGAGAGGAGGGCCAAGACCUGAUUCUCAGUUUUCAAUCAUCACUGGGGGCUCUGAUUGAAGACUAGAUUAUAAGAGUUGGGGGUCAGACAUGGAACUGAGGGAGCAUUGAGGAGAUGAGGUAAGAGAUAAGGGAGCCGGGAGUCAGGGUAGUCCUACGGAUCUGCAUGUUGGAAGAAUCCCUUGAAUGAAGCCCGACAAGACAAUUGUGAAUUGCCUGUGAGGAAGUGAAAACCCAAGGAAUCCCUCCGCUUUCCAAAGCCUUAAUAAUGAAUUGAUGAAAACUGGGUAAGAAAGGGGGCAUGUGAUGGUCACUGGUGCUAAGACUUACUUUUGGACACACUAAGCUUGGGGUGUCUAUUAAUUAGCUAAGAGGAGACUGUUGGGCCUAUAAGGCUGAUUUUCAAUAGAUUUAGGCUGCUAUUGGUUGGCUCAAUUUGCUACACAAAAAAAUUUAAAUAAUAUCAAGUCCUUAGCACACAUGAAAUAAACACCUAUUAAACACAUUCUAUUAGGUAGAGCUAAAUGAAAUAGCCAUAUUUCUGUGACAAAAAAAGGGUCAAAUAUUGUUCAAUUUCGUACCACUUAAGCUCACAUAUCUGAAGUGUCAGAAUUGUGAAGGACAAAGAUGUAUUAAGCAUAAUGCACGUUCCCCAGGAGCUGACAGCUCCAAAUGGGAAUAACACUUUCAUUUAAGUCUAGUGACAUAAUAAGUACUUACACAACGGUGACUGUGUUCAGGCUCUAUAAUAAUCAGCUUUCACACACGCAGCCGUGUAAUCAUCCCAAUGACUUUGCGAAGCAGAGAUUGCCAUUAGUUCGAGAAAAUAACUUGUUUAACCAAACCACAGUGGGUUAAAGAUGGCUAUGUGUUUUUUAGCACUCACUCAGUGGAAAUGGGUGGAGGCUAUUCUGCCGCUCUCCAAAUUGGCUUUGAUGGAUUGCUUGAGUUGUAAGAGAUGCUAAGCAAUCUGUCUUCCCUCAUAGAAGCCAGCUGCCAUGUUAGAAUCUUAACCACCUUGAAACCACCACACUGGGUGGAAGCCCAAGCACACUAUGCACCAGGAGAGACACAUGCAAAAACGUGCCGAGGUGCCUGGAUGGAUUUAGUCAGCACCUGCUUGAACAGAAUAGCAACCUCAUUGAAUACUGUAAGGAAAUAAAACUGUUAUUCCAAGGCAA